rnacentral:misc_RNA from 1 species
GAUGAAGAACGUAGCGAAAUGCGAUACGUAAUGUGAAUUGCAGAAUUCAGUGAAUCAUCGAAUCUUUGAACGCAUAUUGCGCUCUCUGGUAUUCCGGAGAGCAUGCUUGUUUGAGUAUCAGUAAACACCUCAACUUCCAUAUCUUUUUUGAAAUGGGUGUUGGACUUGAGUGAUCCCAACGCUUUUCCUCACCGAAAAGUGGCGGGUUACUUGAAAUGCAGGUGCAGCUGGACUUUUCUCUGAGCUAUAAGCAUAUCUAUUUAGUCUGCCUAAAAAACAGAUUAUUACCUUUGCUGCAGCUAACAUAAAGGAGAUUAGUUCUUGUGCUGACUGAUGCAGGAUUCACAAAGACAGCUUCGGCCGACUUUGUAAACUCGAUCUCAAAUCAAGUAAGACUACCCGCUGAACUUAAGCAUAUCAAUAAGCGGAGGA